rnacentral:rRNA from 1 species
GACGGAGGGUGCGAGCGUUAUUCGGAAUUAUUGGGCGUAAAGAGUGUGUAGGCGGCCGGUUAAGUCAGGUGUGAAAGCCCGGGGCUCAACCUCGGAAGUGCACUUGAAACUGGUCGGCUUGAGUUCGGGAGAGGGAAGCGGAAUUCCUGGUGUAGAGGUGAAAUUCGUAGAUAUCAGGAGGAACAUCGGUGGCGAAGGCGGCUUCCUGGACCGAAACUGACGCUGAGACACGAAAGCGUGGGGAGCAAACAGG